rnacentral:rRNA from 1 species
CCUACGGGUGGCAGCAGUGGGGAAUAUUGCACAAUGGGGGAAACCCUGAUGCAGCGACGCCGCGUGAGCGAGGAAGUAUUUCGGUAUGUAAAGCUCUAUCAGCAGGGACGAAAAAAGACGGUACCUGACUAAGAAGCCCCGGCUAACUACGUGCAAGCAGCCCCGGUAAUACGUAGGGGGCAAGGGUUAGCCGGAUUUACGAGGGUAAAGGGGAGGGUGGAGGGCAAGGCAAGCCAGAAGGGAAAGGGGAGGGCUCAACCCGGUACAUGAUUUUGGAACUGGGGUGCUAGAGUGGAGGAGAGGUAAGUGGAAUUCCAAGUGUAGCGGUGAAAUGCGUAGAUAUUAGGAGGAACACCAGUGGCGAAGGCGGCUUACUGGACUGUAACUGACGGUGAGGCUCGAAAGCGUGGGGAGCAAACAGGAUUAGAUCCCUAGUGUC